rnacentral:rRNA from 1 species
UACGGAGGGGGCUAGCGUUGUUCGGAAUUACUGGGCGUAAAGCGCGCGUAGGCGGUUUGUUAAGUCGGAUGUGAAAUCCCUCGGCUCAACUGAGGAAGUGCAUCCGAAACUGGCAGGCUUGAGUACUAAAGAGGGUCGCGGAAUUCCCGGUGUAGAGGUGAAAUUCGUAGAUAUCGGGAGGAACACCGGUGGCGAAGGCGGCGACCUGGGUAGAUACUGGACGCUGAGGUGCGAAAGCGUGGGGAGCAAACAGG